GACUAAUUGAUGAAACUAAUAUUCUUGUAUGUUAGUGAAACUGAUACUCAUAGGAUAUGUUCACUUGUGAAAUCCUGAGGUAGUUUUCUAGAAUAGUUUUUCAAUAAAAUUGAAAAACUGAGUUUCAUGUUCAUAUGUGCCAGUUUUCUAAUAGAGAAUUAGAAAAUUAGUUUUCUAGUUUUCAAAAAUUUAACCAAGAUUUGGAAAAUAGCUUUAAAUUGUUUUACACUAUUUUUGGCCAAAUGUAUAAAUGGAGAAUUCAGAAACUAGUUUUUCUAGUUUUCAAAAAUUUAAC
rnacentral:misc_RNA from 1 species